rnacentral:rRNA from 2 species
UGCUUGCAUCUUGAUUUAAUUUUGAACGAGUGGCGGACGGGUGAGUAACACGUGGGUAACCUGCCCUUAAGUGGGGGAUAACAUUUGGAAACAGAUGCUAAUACCGCAUAAAUCCAAGAACCGCAUGGUUCUUGGCUGAAAGAUGGCGUAAGCUAUCGCUUUUGGAUGGACCCGCGGCGUAUUAGCUAGUUGGUGAGGUAACGGCUCACCAAGGCAAUGAUACGUAGCCGAACUGAGAGGUUGAUCGGCCACAUUGGGACUGAGACACGGCCCAAACUCCUACGGGAGGCAGCAGUAGGGAAUCUUCCACAAUGGACGCAAGUCUGAUGGAGCAACGCCGCGUGAGUGAAGAAGGCUUUCGGGUCGUAAAACUCUGUUGUUGGAGAAGAAUGGUCGGCAGAGUAACUGUUGUCGGCGUGACGGUAUCCAACCAGAAAGCCACGGCUAACUACGUGCCAGCAGCCGCGGUAAUACGUAGGUGGCAAGCGUUAUCCGGAUUUAUUGGGCGUAAAGCGAGCGCAGGCGGUUUUUUAAGUCUGAUGUGAAAGCCCUCGGCUUAACCGAGGAAGUGCAUCGGAAACUGGGAAACUUGAGUGCAGAAGAGGACAGUGGAACUCCAUGUGUAGCGGUGAAAUGCGUAGAUAUAUGGAAGAACACCAGUGGCGAAGGCGGCUGUCUGGUCUGUAACUGACGCUGAGGCUCGAAAGCAUGGGUAGCGAACAGGAUUAGAUACCCUGGUAGUCCAUGCCGUAAACGAUGAAUGCUAGGUGUUGGAGGGUUUCCGCCCUUCAGUGCCGCAGCUAACGCAUUAAGCAUUCCGCCUGGGGAGUACGACCGCAAGGUUGAAACUCAAAGGAAUUGACGGGGGCCCGCACAAGCGGUGGAGCAUGUGGUUUAAUUCGAAGCAACGCGAAGAACCUUACCAGGUCUUGACAUCUUUUGAUCACCUGAGAGAUCAGGUUUCCCCUUCGGGGGCAAAAUGACAGGUGGUGCAUGGUUGUCGUCAGCUCGUGUCGUGAGAUGUUGGGUUAAGUCCCGCAACGAGCGCAACCCUUAUGACUAGUUGCCAGCAUUUAGUUGGGCACUCUAGUAAGACUGCCGGUGACAAACCGGAGGAAGGUGGGGAUGACGUCAAAUCAUCAUGCCCCUUAUGACCUGGGCUACACACGUGCUACAAUGGAUGGUACAACGAGUUGCGAGACCGCGAGGUCAAGCUAAUCUCUUAAAGCCAUUCUCAGUUCGGACUGUAGGCUGCAACUCGCCUACACGAAGUCGGAAUCGCUAGUAAUCGCGGAUCAGCACGCCGCGGUGAAUACGUUCCCGGGCCUUGUACACACCGCCCGUCACACCAUGAGAGUUUGUAACACCCGAAGCCGGUGGCGUAACCCUUUUAGGGAGCGAGCCGUCUAAGGUGGGACAAAUGAUUAGGGUGAAGUCGUAACAAGGUAGCCGUAGGAGAACCUGCGGCUGGAUCACCUCCUUUCUAAGGAA